UACGGAGGGUGCAAGCGUUAUCCGGAAUCACUGGGCUUAAAGGGUGCGUAGGCGGCUGUAUAAGUCAGAGGUGAAAGCCCGGAGCUUAACUUCGGAACUGCCUUUGAUACUGUAUAGCUUGAAAUAGGUUGAGGUCAGCGGAAUGUGGCAUGUAGCGGUGAAAUGCAUAGAUAUGCCAUAGAGCACCAAUUGCGAAGGCAGCUGGCUGGCCCUUAUUUGACGCUGAGGCACGAAAGCGUGGGGAGCGAACAGG
rnacentral:rRNA from 1 species